rnacentral:rRNA from 1 species
UACAGAGGUCUCAAGCGUUGUUCGGAUUCAUUGGGCGUAAAGGGUGCGUAGGUGGCGUCGUAAGUCAGGUGUGAAAUCUCGGGGCUCAACCCCGAAACUGCACUUGAUACUGCGGUGCUCGAGUACUGGAGAGGAGAUUGGAAUUUACGGUGUAGCAGUGAAAUGCGUAGAUAUCGUAAGGAAGACCAGUGGCGAAGGCGAAUCUCUGGACAGUUACUGACACUGAGGCACGAAGGCCAGGGGAGCAAACGGG